CCUACGGGGGGCUGCAGUGGGGAAUAUUGGACAAUGGGGGCAACCCUGAUCCAGCCAUGCCGCGUGUGUGAAGAAGGCCCUCGGGUUGUAAAGCACUUUCAGUGAGGAAGAACGCCUGGUGGUUAAUACCCAUCAGGAAAGACAUCACUCACAGAAGAAGCACCGGCUAACUCCGUGCCAGCAGCCGCGGUAAUACGGAGGGUGCGAGCGUUAAUCGGAAUUACUGGGCGUAAAGCGCGCGUAGGUGGCUUGAUAAGCCGGUUGUGAAAGCCCCGGGCUCAACCUGGGAACGGCAUCCGGAACUGUCAAGCUAGAGUGCAGGAGAGGAAGGUAGAAUUCCCGGUGUAGGGGUGAAAUGCGUAGAGAUCGGGAGGAAUACCAGUGGCGAAGGCGGCCUUCUGGACUGACACUGACACUGAGGUGCGAAAGCGUGGGUAGCAAACAGGCUUAGAUACCCGAGUAGUC
rnacentral:rRNA from 1 species